AACGAACGCUGGCGGCAUGCCUAACACAUGCAAGUCGAACGAGUGCCUUCGGGUGCUAGUGGCGCACGGGUGCGUAACGCGUGGGAAUCUGCCCUUGGGUUCGGAAUAACCGUUGGAAACGACGGCUAAUACCGGAUGAAGUCGAUAAGACCAAAGAUUUAUCGCCUGAGGAUGAGCCCGCGUAGGAUUAGCUAGUUGGUGUGGUAAGAGCGCACCAAGGCGACGAUCCUUAGCUGGUCUGAGAGGAUGAUCAGCCACACUGGGGCUGAGACACGGCCCAGACUCCUACGGGAGGCAGCAGUGGGGAAUAUUGGACAAUGGGCGCAAGCCUGAUCCAGCAAUGCCGCGUGAGUGAUGAAGGCCUUAGGGUUGUAAAGCUCUUUACCCGGGAUGAUAAUGACAGUACCGGGAGAAUAAGCUCCGGCUAACUCCGUGCCAGCCGCCGCCGUAA
rnacentral:rRNA from 1 species